rnacentral:hammerhead_ribozyme from 1 species
AUCCAGCUGACGAAUCCCGAAUGCGACGAAACGUGCGUCCUGGAU